rnacentral:rRNA from 1 species
GACGAACCGAGCGAACGUUGUUCGGAAUCACUGGGCUUAAAGGGCGCGUAGGCGGGCAUUCAAGUCCGUGGUGAAAUCCUCCAGCUCAACUGGAGAACUGCCGCGGAUACUGGGUGUCUCGAGGGAGGUAGGGGCAUGCGGAACUAACGGUGGAGCGGUGAAAUGCGCAGAUAUCGGGAGGAACACCAGCGGCGAAGGCGGCACUCUGGGCUGGAACUGACGCUGAGGAGCGAAAGCGUGGGUAGCAAACAGG